UACGUAGGGGGCAAGCGUUGUCCGGAUUUAUUGGGCGUAAAGAGCGUGUAGGCGGUUUGGUAGGUCCGUUGUGAAAACUCCAGGCUCAACCUGGAGACGCCACCCGAUACUGCCAUGGCUAGAGUCCGGUAGGGGACCACGGAAUUCCUGGUGUAGCGGUGAAAUGCGCAGAUAUCAGGAGGAACACCGGUGGCGAAGGCGGUGGUCUGGGCCGGAACUGACGCUGAGGAGCGAAAGCGUGGGGAGCGAACAGG
rnacentral:rRNA from 1 species